rnacentral:rRNA from 1 species
GACCUCAAAUCAGGUAGGGCUACCCGCUGAACUUAAGCAUAUCAAUAAGCGGAGGAAAAGAAACUAACAAGGAUUCCCCUAGUAGCGGCGAGCGAAGUGGGAUGAGCUCAAAAUUGAAAUCUGGCGUCCUCCGGGCGUCCGAGUUGUAAUCUAUAGAGUCGUCUUCCGUGCCGGAUCGUGUCCAAGUCCCUUGGAAUAGGGUAUCAAAGAGGGUGAGAAUCCCGUGCUUGACAUGACGACCGGUGCUCUGUGAUAUGUACUCUACGAGUCGAGUUGUUUGGGAAUGCAGCUCUAAACGGGUGGUAAAUUCCAUCUAAGGCUAAAUAUUGGCGAGAGAGAACAAGUACCGUGAGGGAAAGAUGAAAAGCACUUUGGAAAGAGAGUUAAACAGUAUGUGAAACUGUUGAAAGGGAAACGAUUGAAGUCAGUCGUGUCGGGAGGACUCAGCCGGCACUUGUCGGUGCAUUUCCUCUUGACGGGUCAACAUCAGUUCUGGUCGACGGAAAAGGGCGGUUGGAAGGUAUCCACCCUUUACCUCUUUUGGUUUGAGUGGACAUAUUAGCCCACCGUCGCAUCCGUCGGGCAAGACUGAGGAAUGCAGCUCGCCUUCAUGGCCGGGGUUCGCCCACGUCCGAGCUUAGGUUGUUGACGUAAUGGCUUUAAACGACCCGUCUUGAAACACGGACCAAGGAGUCUAACAUAUGUGCGAGUGUUUGGGUGUCAAACCCGGGCGCGGAAUGAAAGUGAACGUAGGAGGGAUCCGUAUGGAGCACCUUUGACCGAUCCGGAUCUUCUGGGAUGGAUUUGAGUAAGAGCAUAUAUGCUGGGACCCGAAAGAUGGUGAACUAUGCCUGAAUAGGGCGAAGCCAGGGGAAACUCUGGUGGAGGCUCGUAGCGAUUCUGACGUGCAAAUCGAUCGUCAAAUUUGGGUAUAGGGGCGAAAGACUAAUCGAACCAUCUAGUAG